GGUCGUCGAGAGGCUCCUAGAGAAGUGUUUUCCGCGUUGGACCGUGUAUAAGUCUCUUGGAACAGAGCGUCAUAGAGGGUGAGAAUCCCGUCUUUGACACGGACUACCAAUGCUUUGUGAUACACUCUCAAAGAGUCGAGUUGUUUGGGAAUGCAGCUCAAAAUGGGUGGUAAAUUCCAUCUAAAGCUAAAUAUUGGCGAGAGACCGAUAGCGAACAAGUACCGUGAGGGAAAGAUGAAAAGCACUUUGGAAAGAGAGUUAAACAGUACGUGAAAUUGCUGAAAGGGAAACGAUUGAAGUCAGUCGCGUUAGCUAGAACUCAACCAGGCUUGCUUGGCGUAUUUUCUAGUUAACGGGCCAGCAUCAGUUUUGACUGCAGGAAAAAGGCCAGGGAAAUGUGGCACCUUCGGGUGUGUUAUAGUCUUUGGUCAUAUACUGCGAUUGGGACUGAGGUUCGCAGCACGCGCAAGCUGUGCUUAGGAUGAUGGCGUAAUGGCUUUAAACGACCCG
rnacentral:rRNA from 2 species